CUCAGAAUUGACAUCUUUCAAAGACCAUUCAUAUUAAGAGAGGGAGCAGCAGAAGAUGGGAACCUUAUACUUCAGGGCAUAAAUUGUCACAGUUCCUUAGAAUGCCAGUUCACAAAGAGUUAACCAGCCUCGCCAGUGAAGGACUCCUGACCAACUAACCAGAGAAGGGAGCACUAGCAAUGCAUCCUUUAACUUUUCCCACCACCACACACCCAGUGCCCACUGUUAAACAGCAGGCAUUAAUUUGCCUGAAGCCAUAGGUUUCUGGUCCCAGAAUAACAAAGAAUCAAGGAGAGUAAGAAUGAAUACUAAGCAACUUUUACUAUU